rnacentral:rRNA from 1 species
AUACGUAGGUGGCAAGCGUUGUCCGGAUUUAUUGGGCGUAAAGCGAGCGCAGGCGGUUUCUUAAGUCUGAUGUGAAAGCCCCCGGCUCAACCGGGGAGGGUACUUGGAAACUGGGAGACUUGAGUGCAGAAGAGGAGAGUGGAAUUCCAUGUGUAGCGGUGAAAUGCGGAGAUAUAUGGAGGAACACCAGUGGCGAAGGCGACUCUCUGGUCUGUAACUGACGCUGAGGCUCGAAAGCGUGGGGAGCAAACAGGAUUAGAUACCCUGGUAGUCCACGCCGUAAACGAUGAGUGCUAAGUGUUGGAGGGUUUCCGCCCUUCAGUGCUGCAGCUAACGCAUUAAGCACUCCGCCUGGGGAGUACGACCGCAAGGUUGAAACUCAAAGGAAUUGACGGGG